GGCACUAUGGCGGAGUGGUUAUCGCGUGGCACUAGAAUCACGGCCUUGCAUUCUAGAGCAUGUACUGCUCAACAACAAUAUGCCAUUCCCUCUGGGAGCACAGGUUCAAAUCCUGUUGGUGUCG